rnacentral:rRNA from 1 species
AUUGAACGCUGGCGACAGGCUUAGCACAUGCAAGUCGAGCGGGGGAAGGUAGCUUGCUACCGGACCUAGCGGCGGACGGGUGAGUAAUGCUUAGGAAUCUGCCUAUUAGUGGGGGACAACAUCUCGAAAGGGAUGCUAAUACCGCAUACGUCCUACGGGAGAAAGCAGGGGAUCUUCGGACCUUGCGCUAAUAGAUGAGCCUAAGUCGGAUUAGCUAGUUGGUGGGGUAAAGGCCUACCAAGGCGACGAUCUGUAGCGGGUCUGAGAGGACGAUCCGCCACACUGGGACUGAGACACGGCCCAGACUCCUACGGGAGGCAGCAGUGGGGAAUAUUGGACAAUGGGGGGAACCCUGAUCCAGCCAUGCCGCGUGUGUGAAGAAGGCCUUAUGGUUGUAAAGCACUUUAAGCGAGGAGGAGGCUACUUUAGUUAAUACCUAGAGAUAGUGGACGUUACUCGCAGAAUAAGCACCGGCUAACUCUGUGCCAGCCGCCGCCGUAA